CAACACUGACUGACCGUGAGUAGGGUACUGAUAUAGAUAGAAAGUCGGGUAGGUAUAGGAUAAUAUAUUGUGUGGGAAAUUCAGUUUGUAUAUUAUAAGCAAUGAUAAAUUAUUGACAAUGUAAAAUAAAUCUGAUCAAAGACUCUAUACGGUUAUAGAAUAAGCUGGCACCAUCAGGUAAAAAUCCGCACGGAGUAUUAUAUUACUGACCAAAACCGUGUUUUCCGAGAAUAUAUUUGAGUAAAACUAUAGUAAAUUUUUUUUCACUAAGUAUACUCAUAAUCUCGUACCAUACGAUAAUUUUCGAGAACUUGAAGUAUUGUAUUAUUGUGAAUAGCUAUUUUUAGAUAUGCAGGUAUCUGUUUCCUAUUCACCUCGUUACAUUCCCACUCAGUUUCGAGGAUCGGCUUAAACGUGUAAUCGAGAUGCAAUCGCUUUUCCUUUGCCCGAAAAAAAUUUCUUAGAUUACAAAAUGAUUAAAUUUUCUUCGACAUCGGUUCUACUAUACAAUAUAAGAAUCAUAUUAUAUGACGAAACACGCCGUUUACGUUGGUGAAUUGAAUUAUUAUCGGUACGUUGGGUUUUGUCCCAAACAUAAUAAUAAUGUUUGUUUGU